rnacentral:lncRNA from 1 species
AGAAGCACUUUCGAUUUUAAAAAAAAAAAUCCUUUUCACCUUCUAGUAUAAAGAUUUUUUCCAUAAUGAACUUAUUAUAAUUAUAAUAAUAACAACAGUAACGUGUUUAUAAGAUGUAAAAUAACUUUAAAUGUAUUAACAUAACAAAAACGUAAUAGCCUUAAGGUCGCUAAGAAAGGUCAAGGUAUUGAACCUAAAAGGUCAAUUAAGGUCAAGGUAUUGAACCUAAAAAUAAAACAUAAUUAAAAUAUUGAGAAAAGCAGCAACAGGCAUACACUGUAACAAUCAAGUAACAUUGAGAGGGACCUGUUAUUCGGUUUUUCUUAAGCAUGAUUUCCAUGCAUUACUGAUAAGGACUGGGUCGAAUUUAUUAAUAAGUUUUUGCUUAGAGUGUUUACAAUUAAAAAUUGUGAUAGUGUCUGCAAUUUUUUCCCUUUUUAGGAACUUCUUGUUUCUUUAGUAACUUAGCAUCUUCCCAUUUAAUUUUUAUAUUGGUAAUCAAUGCUCUCUGGGCAGCGCUGUGGUGUAACUGGACGUCUCAAUAUCCUUUCUGUGUUCAUCAAUUCUUUUUCUUAGCGAUCUCGCUGUAUGACCUAUGUAUUUAAAACAUUGGUUGAGGUCAUUAUCCACAAUGGGGAUCUCAUACACCCCUGGUAAAGAAGUACAAUGAUACUUGUUUUUAUUAUUCCUAAGAAUAUUAAAAAACGUGUUUCUUCUAUUAAACACUAUUUUUGUAUUUGAUAUUUGUUUUACUUUUUCCUGUAUUUAUAUAUGAUAGGAUUAAUUUCUAGAUUAAAAGUUCUCCUCUUGUCUCUGUCACUCAUACUGGUCUGGUUUUCUAAGCGUCUUGGAUGGAGGUCAGAUUUUUUUGAAGUAGUAUUCCACAUAUUAUUAAUCAUCUGGCUUUUGUAUCCAUGGCAUAUUGCUUGUUGCUUGACCCAUUCUAAUUCCUCUAGGAUACUAUCCAUGGUUGUGCAUCAAAAUUCUUUGUAAAGGAACUCUAAAAGCAGCUGUUUUACAGGCCCAAUGCUCCUUUGAGUUGGCAUUAAUAAAAAAAAGGGGAAGAUGUGUGUUUUUUCUAUAUACACUUAUAUUAUAUUCCCCUAGAUUAUUUUUAUCUUUAUAUCAAGAAAAACAAUCUCAUCAUCUGCUUCUCUUUGUUUAAUCCAUAUGAAAAAGAUAAAACACAACUGGAUAAGAAAGUGGGAGUUUAUAAGAUUCUGGUUAAGGACAACACCAUCCAAAAGAAAAGUGCUUAUAUAGGCAUCACCACAAGAGCAUUAAACCAGCGACUUAUAGGACACAAAAGAGACUUACGAAAAGGAAAUACAAGUACAGCUUUAGCUUUAACAGCUUACGAAAGUGACAUAGCAGUGGAUUGGACAGGAGCAAAAAUCGUGAGACAACUAAAGAAAGAGAAACAUGCUACCCUUGCUGAAGCUAUGGAGAUAUU